CUAGGUCACCAUGGCAACCAGUCACACUCCUCUAUUCUACCGUUACUUCCAUCUCUUCCUCACUCAGAACAGGAGUAUAUUCACUCCAAAACAAAGUGUUGCGCGGCUAGUCUCAGAACACAACUGUCAAACAGAAGGCUAUCUGGGCAGAAGACAACUUGGCUCAAGAACAAAGGAGGAAGAAAGGGUCUGAGUAAACCUUAAGUCAGAGAAAAUGUGGGAUGAGAUUCAUGGUCAAGAAUGGACUUAGAGUCAACAGAAGAGCCUGGACCAGGCUUGUAGCUUUGGCAGAAAAUAAGGUUCCCAGGAAUCAAUGUUAUUCAGACAAUUUCAUGGAAUGAUUUCGCUUUAUUAAAAUUUUCAUUCGACUUCUUA